GAUGAACGCUGGCGGCGUGCCUAAUACACGUAAGUCGAGCGAACGGACGAGAAGCUUGCUUCUCUGAUGUUAGCGGCGGACGGGUGAGUAACACGUGGAUAACCUACCUAUAAGACUGGGAUAACUUCGGGAAACCGGAGCUAAUACCGGAUAAUAUUUUGAACCGCAUGGUUCAAAAGUGAAAGACGGUCUUGCUGUCACUUAUAGAUGGAUCCGCGCUGCAUUAGCUAGUUGGUAAGGUAACGGCUUACCAAGGCAACGAUGCAUAGCCGACCUGAGAGGGUGAUCGGCCACACUGGAACUGAGACAAGGUCCAGACUCCUACGGGAGGCAGCAGUAGGGAAUCUUCCGCAAUGGGCGAAAGCCUGACGGAGCAACGCCGCGUGCGUGAUGAAGGUCUUCGGAUCGUAAAACUCUGUUAUUAGGGAAGAACAUAUGUGUAAGUAACUGUGCACAUCUUGACGGUACCUAAUCAGAAAGCCACGGCUAACUACGUG
rnacentral:rRNA from 1 species